rnacentral:rRNA from 1 species
UACGUAGGUGGCAAGCGUUGUCCGAUAUUACUGGGCGUAAAGAGCGCGCAGGCGGUCGUGCAAGUCGCGUGUGAAAGCCCCCGGCUCAACUGGGGAGGGUCACGCGAUACUGUUCGACUCGAAGGCAGGAGAGGGAAGCGGAAUUCCCGGUGUAGUGGUCGAAAUGCGUAGAUAUCUGGAGGAACACCGGUGGCGAAGGCGGCAUCCUGGACCGGUAUUGACGCCGAG